ensembl:lncRNA novel transcript
ACCCUUAUCUCCCUUCCCUGACUCUCUUUUCGGACUCAGCCCACCUGCACCCAAGUGAUUAAAAGCUUUUAUUGCUCACACAAAGCCUGUUUGGUGGUCUCCUCACAUGGACACGCAUGAAAUUUGGUGCCAUGACUCGGAUCAGGGGACCUCCCUUGGGAGAUCAAUCCCCUGUCCUCCUGUUCUUUGCUCCAUGAAAAAGAUCCACCUACGACCUCAGGUCCUCAGACCCACCAGCCCAAGGAACAUUUCACCAAUUUUAAAUCGGGUUGGAUUUUUGGGAAAGCGUUCAAUGUGAGAUGCUUAUUACAAAGCGACAAGGGCAUCCAAGUCUACGGAAGGGAGUGGGAGGAAGCAACACUGAACGGAAUUCAAGUUGUAAUGCAGGUCCCACAACAGCUCUACUGACUGUACAGGAAGCUCUGGAACUAAAAUGCCCCUGAGAUGCCAGGCCUUAUUGUGCCCUCAUUGAUCAGUCAUUGGAUGCAGCUCUCUGCAAAGAGAAGGAGCCUUGAGACACUGGAACUGAGGCAACCCUUGAAUAGGCUGACAGCUGAAGGCAUCUGUCCACAGCACUUCCAGCAGACAGGGCAACAAGUCCAUCACUGAAGAAAUACUGGAUGUGCACACAUCAUGGUUUGUACAACAGAUGGGGAAAGAGACCUGAUGAAAACCUAAAAAUAUGAUUCCCUCUGUCAUUAAUUCUCUUUUAAAGUGCUUAUAUUGGUAGUUGGCAUUGUUUAAAUUUGAAUCACAUGGACAGUCUUUAGCCAUUUCACUGGCUUUAAUUUGAGUCUCAAAGGGAGUUCUUCAGGCUUUUUUCUAAAUAUAAUAUAAUAGCAAUAUUGUUAAGAAGUUGGAAUUCUGCAUAAUUACCAUAAGAUUAAGAAGUCGUUAUGUUUAGUUUGGACAUACGGAAACUGUAAAUUGCAUUGAAGAUAACUUCAUUUAGAAUAUUUUGAUGUUUUUUUAUUAGUUAUACCCUUGGAGUCAUGCCCUUGGAGAGGAGAGCUUUUAUCAAUAUUUUAAUGGGUCAACUAUUAAAAUUGUUUCACAACUUUGAAUAAGAGUACACAAAGGUUUUAAAAAAUAAGGUCAAAUUGGAAACACGUCAGAAGAAAACCAGUGACAUAGUAUUAGAAACGGCUAUGACUAUGAAACUAAUACAUUUUUAUAGACCAAUAAUAAUUUUGUUUACAUCAUUUUAAAUUAUGAAGUAAUCAAAAUAAAGGCUUUUUAUCUUGUAUUAA